CUACGGGUGGCAGCAGUGGGGAAUAUUGGACAAUGGGCGAAAGCCUGAUCCAGCCAUGCCGCGUGUGUGAAGAAGGCCUUCGGGUUGUAAAGCACUUUCAGUGGGGAAGAAAGCCUUGGGGCUAAUACCCUCGAGGAAGGACAUCACCCACAGAAGAAGCACCGGCUAACUCCGUGCCAGCAGCCGCGGUAAUACGGAGGGUGCGAGCGUUAAUCGGAAUUACUGGGCGUAAAGCGCGCGUAGGCGGUCUGAUAAGCCGGUUGUGAAAGCCCCGGGCUCAACCUGGGAACGGCAUCCGGGACGGUCAGGCUAGAGUGCAGGAGAGGAAGGUAGAAUUCCCGGUGUAGCGGUGAAAUGCGUAGAGAUCGGGAGGAAUACCAGUGGCGAAGGCGGCCUUCUGGACUGACACUGACGCUGAGGUGCGAAAGCGUGGGUAGCAAACAGGAUUAGAUACCCUAGUAGUC
rnacentral:rRNA from 1 species